rnacentral:misc_RNA from 1 species
GAAAUGCGAUAAGUAUUGUGAAUUGCAGAAUUCAGUGAAUCAUCGAAUCUUUGAACGCACAUUGCGCCCCCCGGCACUCCGGGGGGCACACCUGUCCGAGCGUCAUUUCAAACCAUCGGCCGCAUCGGUCAGACGAUGGGGCACGCCAGGGCGCCCUCCUGGGCUGCCCGGGCGGCCCCCAAACCAGGUCUUCGGUGCUGCGGGACCCCCAGGCCGCCGGCGUUAGAUUGCUCCUCGCCCGGCAGGCCCGGGCCCCGCGCGCCCUCUCAGCUCCAGAGUUUGACCUCGGAUCAGGUGGGGCUACCCGCUGAACUUAAGC